AACGAACGCUGGCGGCAGGCUUAACACAUGCAAGUCGAGCGCCCCGCAAGGGGAGCGGCAGACGGGUGAGUAACGCGUGGGAACGUACCCUUUGCUACGGAAUAGCUCCGGGAAACUGGAAUUAAUACCGUAUGUGCCCUACGGGGGAAAGAUUCAUCGGCAAAGGAUCGGCCCGCGUUGGAUUAGCUAGUUGGUGGGGUAAUGGCCUACCAAGGCGACGAUCCAUAGCUGGUCUGAGAGGAUGAUCAGCCACAUUGGGACUGAGACACGGCCCAAACUCCUACGGGAGGCAGCAGUGGGGAAUAUUGGACAAUGGGCGGAAGCCUGAUCCAGCCAUGCCGCGUGAGUGAUGAAGGCCUUCGGGUUGUAAAGCUCUUUCGCACGCGACGAUGAUGACGGUAGCGUGAGAGGAAGCCCCGGCUAACUUCGUGCCAGCAGCCGCCGCGG
rnacentral:rRNA from 1 species